AUUGAACGCUGGCGGCAGGCCUAACACAUGCAAGUCGAACGGUAACAGGGAUCAGCUUGCUGAUUCGCUGACGAGUGGCGGACGGGUGAGUAAUGUCUGGGAAACUGCCUGAUGGAGGGGGAUAACUACUGGAAACGGUAGCUAAUACCGCAUAACGUCGCAAGACCAAAGAGGGGGACCUUCGGGCCUCUUGCCAUCGGAUGUGCCCAGAUGGGAUUAGCUAGUAGGUGGGGUAACGGCUCACCUAGGCGACGAUCCCUAGCUGGUCUGAGAGGAUGACCAGCCACACUGGAACUGAGACACGGUCCAGACUCCUACGGGAGGCAGCAGUGGGGAAUAUUGCACAAUGGGCGCAAGCCUGAUGCAGCCAUGCCGCGUGUAUGAAGAAGGCCUUCGGGUUGUAAAGUACUUUCAGCGGGGAGGAAGGGAGUAAAGUUAAUACCUUAGCUCAUUGACGUUACCCGCAGAAGAAGCACCGGCUAACUCCGUG
rnacentral:rRNA from 1 species